rnacentral:rRNA from 1 species
ACUCCUACGGGAGGCAGCAGUGGGGAAUAUUGCACAAUGGGCGAAAGCCUGAUGCAGCAACGCCGCGUGAGGGACGACGGCCUUCGGGUUGUAAACCUCUUUUAGUAGGGAAGAAGCGAAAGUGACGGUACCUGCAGAAAAAGCACCGGCUAACUACGUGCCAGCAGCCGCGGUAAUACGUAGGGUGCAAGCGUUGUCCGGAAUUAUUGGGCGUAAAGAGCUCGUAGGCGGUUUGUCGCGUCUGCUGUGAAAUCCCGAGGCUCAACCUCGGGUCUGCAGUGGGUACGGGCAGACUAGAGUGCGGUAGGGGAGAUUGGAAUUCCUGGUGUAGCGGUGGAAUGCGCAGAUAUCAGGAGGAACACCAAUGGCGAAGGCAGAUCUCUGGGCCGUAACUGACGCUGAGGAGCGAAAGCAUGGGGAGCGAACAGGAUUAGAUACCCUGGUAGUCCAUGCCGUAAACGUUGGGAACUAGAUGUAGGGGCCAUUCCACGGUUUCUGUGUCGCAGCUAACGCAUUAAGUUCCCCGCCUGGGGAGUACGGCCGCAAGGCUAAAACUCAAAGGAAUUGACGGGGGCCCGCACAAGCGGCGGAGCAUGCGGAUUAAUUCGAUGCAACGCGAAGAACCUUACCAAGGCUUGACAUAUACCGGAAACGUCCAGAGAUGGUCGCCCCGCAAGGUCGGUAUACAGGUGGUGCAUGGUUGUCGUCAGCUCGUGUCGUGAGAUGUUGGGUUAAGUCCCGCAACGAGCGCAACCCUCGUUCUAUGUUGCCAGCACGUUAUGGUGGGAACUCAUAGGAGACUGCCGGGGUCAACUCGGA